rnacentral:rRNA from 1 species
AUUGAACUCUGGCGGCAGGCUUAACCCAUGCAAGUCGAGCGAGCGGCGGACGGGUGAGUAAUGUCUGGGAAACUGCCUGAUGGAGGGGGAUAACUACUGGAAACGGUAGCUAAUCCCGCAUACCAUCCGAUGUUCCCAGAUGGGAUUAGCUCGUAGGUGGGGUAAUGGCUCACCUAGGCGACGGUCCCUAGCGGGUCUGAGAGGAUGACCAGCCACACGUGAACUGAGACACGGUCCAUACUCCUACGGGAGGCAGCAGUGGUGAAUAUUGCACAAUGGGCGCAAGCCGGAUGCAGCCAUGCCGCGUGUGGGAAGAAGGCCUUCGGGUUGUAAAGCACUUUCAGCGAGGAGGCGUUACUCGCAGAAGAAGCACCGGCUAACUCCGUGCCAGCAGCCGCGGUAAUAC